GGGAGAAACCUGCCGCGGCUCUCCGCCUCUUUGUCUGCUCUGGGACUUGGAACAAAAGGGGGAACUCUGAUGAACUCCUUCUCCCGCUCCCUGGACGCCCGGGUAUCUCUCUCUCGCAACUUUGUCAACGCGACUUUCUCCGUUGUCAGGCUGCGCAAAAGUGUCCCAGCGCCUCGUAGGCUGCAACAAUGGAAACAAUGUCCCUUCAAAGUGCGACGAAGUGGGGGGAGAAGGUGUCAUUACCAGCGUCUCCAAGUAUCCUGCCAUGCUUAGCUGGAGUACUUCCUACUGAUCUGCCUUCGAAUUGUUCUUUUUGGAUAUAUACUUAUCAGCCAGUGGCAUGGAGAAGCCACGACCCCAGCAAGUUAGCCCUGGACAAAAUACCAUCAAUUUCUUCCUUUGGAGUUUCUUCAGUUAAAUUGUUGGGAAUUUGGACAAUGCUUUCCUUAUGUGGAUUAUUGCAGUUCGGUGACUGGGGUUUCUCCACUUAUACAAGUACUCCCAGGUGGCUGCAGAAGCCUUCGCACCCAGCAUGUUCAGGU